UUCUAGAUAUAUAUAUCUUGUUGAAGAUAUAUUUGACAUUGUAUACACAUAUUUAUUUCGUAUGGUUAAAUAGAACCAUAAUCUACUCUAGAUCUAGACUCUAGACAGUCUUUGAAUUUACUCUAGACACUUCAGUCACAUCAAAUUUUAAAAUUGAUCAUAGUUAUUCAUACUAGAUCUAAUAGUCAUAGUGCUCUUGAUAACUAGAUCUAAAUGAUUACUGCCAGUGAAGAACAUUUGUGAUAUAUGACGUGCCCAUAAGAUGCCACAUUUUCCUCCAUGAUGAACUGUGUACUAAUGAAGAUGAUUCUGGAAUGUUAUGAACAUUGACAUUGAAUAUGAGGAACUGUCAAGUCAAGAUGAAGAUGUCAAGAUUUUAUGUUUGUUGUCUUCCCCUUAAAUUGAAAAUGCCUUUGUAAGACUUGACAGUAGUGGAAAAAUAUUGACAUAUUUUUUUUUUCAAGGGGGGGAGGAAUCUGUUAGACACCUUAUUUAUAUAGGUUAGUUAUUUAGCGACGCACCAUAGGAGACGCAUAUUGAACGGGACUAGUGACGUUUGGGAUAUGUUGGGUUAGAGACCGGAAAAUCAGUUAGCAAUAGAAUACUCCAGGGUAACGACGUGUUUAGUGACAGAGACUUCUACUGUGGCCUUUUAUCAGAAUAAAUCUAUGUGAACUUUUU